rnacentral:misc_RNA from 1 species
GUGGGAGGGGGCUUGCCCCCGAUGGCGGUGUGUCAGUCAUGCACUUGGCAACUGACCCACUGCUAUCGGGGGCAAGCCCCCUCCCAC